UACGUAGGGGGCAAGCGUUGUCCGGAUUUAUUGGGCGUAAAGAGCGUGUAGGCGGCCAGACAGGUCUGCUGUGAAAACUCGAGGCUCAACCUCGAGACGCCGGUGGAAACCGUCUGGCUAGAGUCCGGAAGAGGAGAGUGGAAUUCCUGGUGUAGCGGUGAAAUGCGCAGGAUAUCAGGAGGAACACCAAUGGCGAAGGCAGCUCGCUGGGACGUGACUGACGCUGAGACGCGAAAGCUAGGGAGCGAACGGG
rnacentral:rRNA from 1 species